rnacentral:rRNA from 1 species
UACGAAGGGUGCAAGCGUUACUCGGAAUUACUGGGCGUAAAGCGUGCGUAGGUGGUGAGUUAAGUCUGUCGUGAAAGCCCCGGGCUCAACCUGGGAAUGGCGAUGGAUACUGGCUCGCUAGAGUGCGGUAGAGGAGAGUGGAAUUCCCCGGUGUAGCAGUGAAAUGCGUAGAGAUCGGGAGGAACAUCAGUUGCGAAGGCGGCUCUCUGGACCAGCACUGGACACUGAGGCACGAAAGCGUGGGGAGCAAACAGG